CCACGACGGGCACCAGCACCGAGGAUGCUGGCACCGUCAGCUCACAGGGCGCCCCUGUCCUGGUUCCCUCCUUAAUGUCUUGCCAACAGGGAAGGGAAUCCAAAAGGGAAGACAGAAGGAGAUUAUGAAUUGUGAGGGAUGAGGGCAAUUUCUUCUGGAGUCUGUUGAAGUUAGUAUUUAUAGAACACCCCAAAGAACUUUCCAGAGUGCUGCCCCACAGUGGGGACCUGGCCAUCAGCUCUAGGGUCACAUUCUUACAGCACUAGGACCACAAAGGAGAAGAAAAAAAGAGGCUUCUCUGUCAGCUUC